rnacentral:rRNA from 1 species
UACGAAGGGGGCUAGCGUUGCUCGGAAUCACUGGGCGUAAAGGGUGCGUAGGCGGGUCUAUAAGUCAGUGGUGAAAUCCUAUCGCUUAACGAUAGACGUGCCAUUGAUACUGUAGGACUUGAGUACAGAUGCCGUUGGCGGAAUGUGUCAUGUAGCGGUGAAAUGCAUAGAUAUGACACAGAACACCGAUUGCGAAGGCAGCUGACGAAAACUGUAACUGACGCUGAGGCUCGAAAGCGUGGGGAUCAAACAGG